AUGAAAGUCCAAAUACGUGAGGAGUAUUACAGCAGCCAUGUAAUUGCUACUUCAAAGACUCUUUCGAAGUCAUUCAAGUGGAAAGGCAAAAUGAAAUGCAACUUGCAGAGACGUGGUGUAGGUGAAGAGGAGGCAUCCAGAAAUUUCAAAAAGAGCAAACUGAUGCAAACUGACUCCAGUAACGUCAGGGUAGCUUCCUCCACGUGGGUACUCGAAUAUCUUCUGUCAACAAGUGAUGCGAUGCUGUCCCCAGGAGCAUGUCCCUCAUAUAAGCGCGUGUUGUCUGCGCUUGGCCAGCAGGUUUGGCUCCCUCAUGCUGCUUCAUCCGGGCUUGCUCUCGUUGCUCCCUUUGUUGAAUGCUUUCAUUCUCCAGGACUUUGUGCAGCUGCUGAAUCUGUUGUUUAUAAUCUGUGUGAGCUCCCAAAAGCAAGACGCUGGGGAGCCUGGCCGGGGGCCUGGCGGGACCGCAGGAGGAUCCGUCUGUCCAGCCACGACGAGCCCUCCAGCCGGGGAGCGGGGAGCGAUGCGGUUCCAGUAGCUCCGCAGAGCUGGAGCGAGGAGAGCCCAGUUUCCAGUGGAUUUGUGCCAUGACGCUGAUUGAUUUUGCUGUCUAGAAGGUAGAGUUCCCGCUGAAGCUUUCACUGCUGCUGUGAAAUGUGUGAGGGAUCUGUCCACCAAGGAGCCUAGGCAGGUUAAACUGAUUAUUUUUCCCUCUUUCACAGUAGAGGCUUCAUCCCUUGAAUUCUUUGAAUCAGAGUUAAAAAUAUUUACUAGCUCAAACAGAUGUUUUCGGUUUAUCGUAGCGGUGUUGGGUAAGCUGCACUUGGCCUGUGUUGUUCAAGAGGUUAGUUAAUCCCCGUGUUCUACCCUUCCUCAAAAGCAGUGACUCAGUUGACCCAGGUAAGGGAUUAGUUGAUUCAAUGAGUAUUUUGUCAAUAGAGAACUGCAGUUGGAUCAGGUACUUACGCUGACAUUUCUCCUGGCUCAGUGAAAUACCUCAGUAUCUGUAUUGUCUUGCAGUAUCGCGUAAACCCCUUCUGUGAUCAGUGGAGAAAAAAUACGUGUUUCGAGAGAGCUUCAGUCUUAAGGGACAUAUACUCUUUGGGAAUCAACACACUGUAGAGCAUAUACACAAUAGAUAGUCUUGCAGUCAGUAAUCUCACCUGUAAGCGUUAUAAAGGUCUUUUGUGUUUGGUUCACAGUCUGUGUGCAAACACUGCUCUUUGAUAUCCGUGUUGGUCCACAGGGAGAAUGUGCUGGAAAAGAACCUUUGAUUUCAACAUUGAGAGGGAAAAUACUUAUGUCUCUAGCUCCCAGGACAGGGUGGAAGUGGGAAAACUGGGGGACGUUAGGAGCAAGAGACAGAAAUAAGAGAAGGAAUAAAGGAAUGUGAAGACAGAAAUAUUUGACUAUU
rnacentral:lncRNA from 1 species